rnacentral:rRNA from 1 species
GAGUUUGAUCAUGGCUCAGAUUGAACGCUGGCGGCAGGCCUAACACAUGCAAGUCGAGCGGAAACGAGUUAUCUGAACCUUCGGGGAACGAUAACGGCGUCGAGCGGCGGACGGGUGAGUAAUGCCUAGGAAAUUGCCCUGAUGUGGGGGAUAACCAUUGGAAACGAUGGCUAAUACCGCAUGAUGCCUACGGGCCAAAGAGGGGGACCUUCGGGCCUCUCGCGUCAGGAUAUGCCUAGGUGGGAUUAGCUAGUUGGUGAGGUAAGGGCUCACCAAGGCGACGAUCCCUAGCUGGUCUGAGAGGAUGAUCAGCCACACUGGAACUGAGACACGGUCCAGACUCCUACGGGAGGCAGCAGUGGGGAAUAUUGCACAAUGGGCGCAAGCCUGAUGCAGCCAUGCCGCGUGUGUGAAGAAGGCCUUCGGGUUGUAAAGCACUUUCAGUCGUGAGGAAGGUAGUGUAGUUAAUAGCUGCAUUAUUUGACGUUAGCGACAGAAGAAGCACCGGCUAACUCCGUGCCAGCAGCCGCGGUAAUACGGAGGGUGCGAGCGUUAAUCGGAAUUACUGGGCGUAAAGCGCAUGCAGGUGGUUUGUUAAGUCAGAUGUGAAAGCCCGGGGCUCAACCUCGGAAUAGCAUUUGAAACUGGCAGACUAGAGUACUGUAGAGGGGGGUAGAAUUUCAGGUGUAGCGGUGAAAUGCGUAGAGAUCUGAAGGAAUACCGGUGGCGAAGGCGGCCCCCUGGACAGAUACUGACACUCAGAUGCGAAAGCGUGGGGAGCAAACAGGAUUAGAUACCCUGGUAGUCCACGCCGUAAACGAUGUCUACUUGGAGGUUGUGGCCUUGAGCCGUGGCUUUCGGAGCUAACGCGUUAAGUAGACCGCCUGGGGAGUACGGUCGCAAGAUUAAAACUCAAAUGAAUUGACGGGGGCCCGCACAAGCGGUGGAGCAUGUGGUUUAAUUCGAUGCAACGCGAAGAACCUUACCUACUCUUGACAUCCAGAGAACUUUCCAGAGAUGGAUUGGUGCCUUCGGGAACUCUGAGACAGGUGCUGCAUGGCUGUCGUCAGCUCGUGUUGUGAAAUGUUGGGUUAAGUCCCGCAACGAGCGCAACCCUUAUCCUUGUUUGCCAGCGAGUAAUGUCGGGAACUCCAGGGAGACUGCCGGUGAUAAACCGGAGGAAGGUGGGGACGACGUCAAGUCAUCAUGGCCCUUACGAGUAGGGCUACACACGUGCUACAAUGGCGCAUACAGAGGGCAGCCAACUUGCGAAAGUGAGCGAAUCCCAAAAAGUGCGUCGUAGUCCGGAUUGGAGUCUGCAACUCGACUCCAUGAAGUCGGAAUCGCUAGUAAUCGUGGAUCAGAAUGCCACGGUGAAUACGUUCCCGGGCCUUGUACACACCGCCCGUCACACCAUGGGAGUGGGCUGCAAAAGAAGUAGGUAG